GCCGGCCUAGCUCAAUUGGUAGAGCAACUGACUUGUAAUCAGUAGGUUGGGAGUUCAAGUCCUCUGGCCGGCACCA
rnacentral:tRNA from 1 species